UACGGGGGGGGCAAGCGUUGUUCGGAAUUACUGGGCGUAAAGGGCGCGUAGGCGGCUCGCUAAGUCUGGUGUUAAAGCUAGGGGCUCAACCCCUGUGGUGCAUCGGAUACUGGGCAGCUUGAGUGCGGUAGGGGAAGGUGGAAUUCCGAGUGUAGCGGUGAAAUGCGUAGAUAUUCGGAAGAACACCGGUGGCGAAGGCGACCUUCUGGGCCGCAACUGACGCUGAGGCACGAAAGCCUGGGGAGCGAACGGG
rnacentral:rRNA from 1 species